GACGAACGCUGGCGGCGUGCUUAACACAUGCAAGUGGAGCGACGAACCAUCUUCGGAUGGGGCAAAGCCGCGAACGGGUGAGUAACACGUGGGUAACCUGCCUUGAUGAUUGGGACAACCCCGGGAAACCGGGGCUAAUACCAAAUGUGCUCCUUCCCUUCGAGGGGAAGGUGGAAAGGAAGCUUCGGCCUCCGCAUCGAGAUGGGCCCGCGGCGCAUUAGCUUGUUGGUGGGGUAACGGCCUACCAAGGCGACGAUGCGUAGCUGGUCUGAGAGGACGAUCAGCCACACUGGGACUGAGACACGGCCCAGACUCCUACGGGAGGCAGCAGUGGGGAAUCUUGCACAAUGCACGAAAGUGUGAUGCAGCAACGCCGCGUGCGGGAAGACGGCCUUCGGGUUGUAAACCGCUUUCAGUUGGGACGAAGGUUCACGAGUUAAUAGCUCGUUGGACUGACGGUACCUUCACAAGAAGCCCCGGCUAACUACGUGCCAGCCGCCGCAGUAAAAC
rnacentral:rRNA from 1 species